CAGGCGUGUCUGCAGGGACGACCUCACCAACUCCUACCUUGGAUGCUGCACAAAAGGCCAGCUCCCAUGGCAGGGGUCCUCUGACAGGAGAGACCAAAGACAUGGCAGGCAGGAAAUUCCAGGACCCAUUAGAAAUCAUGUGGCAAAUGCUGAAGGAACGUCUGCAGAGAAGACAAGAAAUGAAAGGAGAGCCUGCGGAGAAAGAAGCAUUUCCCGGAGGAAGCAGUGGUUGCAUGCCAGCCUCAGCUCCAGGAAGGGAGGCCAUGCCAGGCACAGGCACAGGAGAUGAGGGUGCUGGGAAGGCUUCUCCAUCAGCUUGGAUGAAUAAAGUUUUGAAGCCCUUGGAGCCUCCUGCAGAUGUGUCUACAGGGAAGACUUCUCCAGCUUCUCCAGCUGCUACCUUGGAUGCUGCACUCAAGCCCAGCUCCCAUCUCAG